GGGAUAUAAUGAUAUAUAGCCACGCAAAAAAAGAAAAAAGAAAAUAUAAGUGACAAGGUAUACCCACCAUAAUCACAACAUGAAGGCCAUUUUUAUUGCAUUCUUACUUCUGGCUUCCAUGGCCUUCUUGCUCUCUUCAGCUACCCUAGCAACUCGAGAGAUUCAACCAAUCAAAGGUGAUGAGAAAGGAUACAUAAAAGCAAGUGAUCCAUAUAGAUUUAGAAGAAGAAUUAGAGGAGGAGGACGACGACCUCCACCUCCUCCUAGUGCUGUUGGAAGUGAUUUAUAUAGAAGAAGAAGAUGAGGAGGAGGAGGAGGAGGAGGAGGAGUUCCACCUCCACCUCCACCUCCACGUUCUAGUGCUGUUAAUUAAUAAUUAAAUUAAUCAAAGGUUGCAUAACCUCCUUCUUCUACUUUAUUAUGUGUUACUACAGCUAGUAGUAAUAAAAAUGUAUCAUCACAUGUUAGUUUUCACUUUGUAAUGGUGUUUGUCAAAUAAAUUAAAGCAUAUAUAUGAGCUUUCAUUUUCAGG